UAUCACAAGUGGCUGGUUUCGUCCCCAUCGCAUCCCAAAUUCCCAAUCCCCUCGAUCCAAUCUCGCUAUUCCUAUGCCAUCGCCUACGCCUGCCUAGCACAAACCCCGCCGCCGCUGUUCCCCACCUACACCUUGCAUAUCUCCCGCCGCCAGGGUGCAGGCCGCCGCCGUUGUUCCCCACCUCCGCCUUGCAUAUCUCCCGCCUCGAGGGGCAGGCCGCCGCCGAUGUUCCCCACCUCGCUUGCGUGCAUCUUCCGACCUGCCAUUGCGGCAACGAUGAGGAGGAGGAUGGAGACGAGGCGGCAACGUCCGUCCCUCCAGUGCUAUCUGGCGCAGACGAGGGCAGCCUCCACCGCAUGUCCCCGCCUCUCCAUCUUCCCCGUCGACGGUGAGAGCUUUAGGAUAGACAUACACCGCUCCCUCCAGACGUGCCAGGCGACCCCCUCCUCAUAGGGUUUCAACCAUCUUGGUCUCUCACCUUUUUCUAUUUGCAGGCACCACACCGAAAUUUGAUUUUGGGUUUCAACUUCGCUGGUGUGUUGUGAUUUAUGGAUCCUAAGAGGUGCUUCAAGAUCUGUGUUGCGGCUGUCAGGUUUCUUACGUGCGAGUUCAUCCUCUUUUUUUCCUGUUCUCCAGUCAAAUAGUGUUCAGAUCCAUUUUUUCAUUUUUGAACUUGUGAAAAUGUCAUGACUGAAUUACUCCGGUGUUCUUGUUACAGAGAGAGAAGUUGAGAAACUUUUAUUGAGAACGUGCAGCCUGUCCAUGAGCCUUUUGCAAGGCAGGCUGGGAGUGUCAUGCCCUGCGUUGAUUCACUUAUAUGCAGAAUAAAGCCGAACGAGGAGGAGAAGGAUUUGGAGGCUUGGUUUUUUGGUGAAGCAGGAGAUACUAAAUUAUUGAAGGCUCCACCCCGUCCCUAUGAAUAAAUUUGUUGAUAUUUGGUAUAUAUUCUCGAGUAAUGGAGCUGGGUAAGGGACGGAUGAAAGGGGCAAUGAUGCCGCCACUAGCUCGCUGUGUGGCCAAGAAGGACUGUGCACUUCGGCGCUUGCCAAUGCUGCCGGCCAUAGGCAUCGCUGGUGGACUGAAUCUAUCCGUCUGAGUUCAUCCUCUUUUUUAUGUUUUGCAUUCAAAUAGUGUUCAGAUCCCUGUUUCGUCAAGAUGGUACCAGUGAGUAAUCCUUUCUUGGUCAACAAAGGUGUCCAUGGUGAGAAUUUAUAUAAGGUUGGAGCUAUGAGUGCCACGAGGCCCAGACGUCUCUAAAUGAGCUGCACAUGAGGUGCAGACAUCUCUGAAUGACCUGCAGAUGGAGCAUUUGCAAUGGAAGGGCAAGUGAAAAUAAAGAGCUGUUCAUGCCAACUGCUGAAAGAUUUGAGUGAGAAAUUUAAGAAAAUUCAGCCUGAAGCCUUGGUUUGUUUUUUAACUACACAAGCACCUCCUCGUCCUCCUCCCCUCCGCCAGAUAUCUCCCCGGUGCAGUCGACUGUGAUUAUAGGGCGGGGCUAUAGGAAGAGGUCGUGCGACUCGAGCUUGCAGUGGCUUACGAAGCGGCGGCCGGAGGCAGUGCCAUGGUGCGAGAUGGUGGCGACUAGCGACCGGCGUGCACCAGGGCCACGAUUCGGCGACCAGGUCAGCUCACCGUAGCAGCAACCGGCGGCGGCCAGGACAGGGCGGCUUGGGGUGGCGGCCGCAUCUCGCGUCGCAGGGAUGAAUAUCAAGUGCAUAUUUAAUGGAAAUUGAAGACAUUGGAAGAUCUUGUUUUAGCGGCAGAGGAUGGAGUAUCUGAGAAUAUAGACAGUGAAUUUUAUUUGGAAAAUAUUUCUACUGAUGCUGAGUUGCAGGAAAGAAAGUGCCUGUUUUGCUCACAAAAUAUUACCACAGCUUCAAUGCUGUCAGCAGUAUGGUGGAGCCUUGCGGGGUGGGGGAGUAGACAAUGGUGGAGAUCAGAGGGCGUGAGCUCACUGUGGUCGCCCAGAUUUCAACAGCUUCGACAGAUAGAGAAGGGUUUCAAAAUUUUGACUACUUGAUUCGCUGCAAGCACGAUGCAGUAUGUGGAUUUUUACCUCAGGUACAUCUUCCUUUCUCAUAGAGUUAAGUCUAAUCAAUACAACUCAGAAGCAAAAAAAAGCAAUUAGUUGCACCUCUAAAUUAUGAAUCUCUGUUUGCUCGUCAUUGCUUACACAUUACCUGUAUUAUUUGCACAGAACAUAAAUAUUAGGUAUCAGUUAAUCAACAAGAAAGCCUCUUACAUGCUCUUUAUAAUAUAUGUUUGCCGGUCUAUCAAUAAGAAAGAGUAAGAAUAUGCCAGAAAUAUGUUCCAGUUAUGUAAGGAUAUGUAGUGGUUUCUAAAUUCAAGCAUACAUGGGAAAUAGUCGUUGUGGAGGGGGCAUAGCAUCACAGAAGCAUCGGCGAGGUACACGGUGGGUAUGGAGAUCACAAUUGGGCUUGUCAGCUACCUGGAAGCCUAAAUUUGUAAGGAUGUUCAGAAGAUAUCAACAAACACAGUAGAAUGGAUCGGAAUUACAUGGUUCAAUUCAUUUGAAGCAAAAUACAGACUGCAGCAUUCAUACUGAAGUUCAGAAGAGCUACGAUGACAUGGUAUAGGUCUAGCUGUUAUUAGACUCAUUAUUGUAAAAUACAAAUAUAUACAUCUUGUGGCUGAAUUAGGAUGGCUAGCUGUAGAACAUCGAGCUAUGCAGUAUAUUGUUGCUUAAAGCAUAUGAAUAUGCAGAAAGACUGAGCACCACUGAAAAUAGAGAUUGUGGCCUAGCCAAGGGUACAUCUUGUUGCAUCGGUGGUGGAGCAGAGCAUAUCCAUGUCAAAACCAAGUUUGUAGUAUUAUGAAUCUACUUUGAGUGUCAUAAUUUAUAGA